rnacentral:lncRNA from 1 species
GAAUGAAUGAUUCAAAGAUUUGCUCAUUGCACAAUUAGUGAACGCCACCUACUGGUAUAAUGCUGUAGCCUUUUACAGCCAUCGAAGUGAAGGAGUUUUUGGUGCACAGAAUCAAACGAUUAUAGUCAUUGGGAAGAAACAAUAUAUUCGAGUCACUGGGAUGAGCCUAUAUCAAAAUCCCCCCAAUGUCAUGUCUUGUCUUUCCUUGGAGUCGACUCCUUGAGUGAAUUCUUUGAGUCGACAGCCGGUUCCCAACGUUUUGGAAUCGAAGAAUCGAUUCUCUUUGCCUCCCAGUCCAGACCUGUUUACAGGAGAUGACGAGAAAACAGGAAGAUGGACGUAACUAAAACUUCCACAAUGUAGGAUGAAGAUAUUUACACUUCUCGGUUUAAUCAGCUACUUGUGUUUGGCUGGCAGGUCUGCCAUUCUUACCAUUUAGAGGGGCUUAAAAGAAAGGCACCUAUUCAUGAUAUUCACAGGGUCAGUGGUCUGCACAGCAGACCAUCAGGUGAGACAGUCAGGGGUUUGAAGGAGUUAAAUGAGGACCGCCGAGGCUUCGAGCCCAGCACUGAUCAGCACUCAGUGAUGCAGGAGGAGGAGGAAGAGGAAGGAGGAGCGAGCAGAGCAUUUCUGCUUUCAGUCUCUCGUCAGCGUGUGCCAGAGCAGUCUCCUUUGCUGUACUUCUCUGAGAAACACACACACCAGAACACUCUUGAUUGCUGGUUGGGGGAGAGUGCUGAAUC